CAGUCGCCGCGGGAAUACGAAGGGGGCUAGCGUUGCUCGGAAUGACUGGGCGUAAAGGGCGCGUAGGCGGCGGCCAAAGUCAGGCGUGAAAUUCCCGGGCUCAACCUGGGGGCUGCGUUUGAUACUUGGUUGCUUGAGUGGGGAAGAGGGUCGUGGAAUUCCCAGUGUAGAGGUGAAAUUCGUAGAUAUUGGGAAGAACACCGGUGGCGAAGGCGGCGACCUGGUCCUUUACUGACGCUGAGGCGCGAAAGCGUGGGGAGCAAACAGGAUUAGAUACCCGCGUAGUCCCUGUCUCUUAUAC
rnacentral:rRNA from 1 species